rnacentral:tRNA from 1 species
GGACGGUUAGUUUAAUUGGGAAAACAUUAUUGGAAUCUUGUAUUUUUGUCCUAUGGGAAUGCCAUAAGAUUUACAUUUUCACUGAUAAUGAAAAGAUACAGGUUCGAAUCCUGUACCGUCCG